CUAGCGAGACUGCGGUAAUAAACGAGGAAGUGGGGAGUGACGUCAAUCAUCAUGCCCCUUAUGACCUGGGCUACACACGUGCUACAAUGGUUGGUACAACGAGUUGCGAGUCGGUGACGGCGAGCUAAUCUCUUAAAGCCAAUCUCAGUUCGGAUUGUAGGCUGCAACUCGCCUACAUGAAGUCGGAAUCGCUAGUAAUCGCGGAUCAGCACGCCGCGGUGAAUACGUUCCCGGGCCUU
rnacentral:rRNA from 1 species